CAGCUACGUAAUCAUUGGCAACCAAGCAUAACAUAAUUAAGCUGAACUCAACUCAACAAAAAGUAAAAAUAGAUUCAACUAUGUUUAUCAUAUCAAACUAUGCCUUAAUAGCUAAUUGAGAAAGGAAAAUUGUCAAGCUUUCAUUUUUCAUUGAGAAUCAAGAAACAGAAAACACUACAAUACACCAAGCAAGAUCAACAAAGGGACACACAACCAAUCAAACAACACCAAUACAUACAACUGAAUAAAGUAGCAAAAUUAGAACUUUCAAAUGAUUUAAACAGCAUUGGGAAGUAUAACAGAAAUAACAUGCGGAUUACUGGAAAUAAUGGAUGAAGCAAAGAAAUGAUGAAUAAUCAGUACCAGAGAAUAUAAGCCCAGAAGUUUCAACAUAUAAUUAGCUCCACGAUUAGGAAUUAUUCAGUAAAGUUCCGAAAUAUACACUACAUUUUCCAGCCACUACUGCUGAAAUAAUACUUUCCAAGGAUGGUGAUGUUGGGGGUGGAAUUUACGCCAGAAACCCCCAAAGGAAAAGAGGCGGAAUUUGAGGAGUAGCAGUAGCGCUGGUGGCCCUGGCAGCAAGGACGCUACACCGAUUCACCUCCAGGGACAGCGAGCUCCACCGGUGGCGACUAGGUGCGGUGGCGGUGGUGGUGACGGAAAUCGGCUCUCCUUCUCUCACACGCUUCACUGGCUUCCGUCAAUCUCUCUCAGCGUUGCUCUCCCUUUCUCCUCAGUUCACGAUUCCAACAACAGUGGCGGUCUCCAUAGCUGCGACAACAAGGCGUGAUAGUGACUGCGCGAGACAGCGGCCCUCCUCCUCUUCUCUCGCGCUGUCUUUCUCUCUUUCUCUUCUUGUCUGCAAUAGCGCUGACGAAGAACCCGGCAGCGA